ACGGGAGGCAGCAGUGGGGAAUAUUGCACAAUGGGGGAAACCCUGAUGCAGCGACGCCGCGUGAAGGAAGAAGUAUCUCGGUAUGUAAACUUCUAUCAGCAGGGAAGAUAAUGACGGUACCUGACUAAGAAGCCCCGGCUAACUACGUGCCAGCAGCCGCGGUAAUACGUAGGGGGCAAGCGUUAUCCGGAUUUACUGGGUGUAAAGGGAGCGCAGACGGCAUGGCAAGCCAGAUGUGAAAGGCAGGGGCUCAACUCCUGGACUGCAUUUGGAACUGUCAAGCUAGAGUAUCGGAGAGGUAAGUGGAAUUCCUAGUGUAGCGGUGAAAUGCGUAGAUAUUAGGAGGAACACCAGUGGCGAAGGCGGCUUACUGGACGAUAACUGACGUUGAGGCUCGAAAGCGUGGGGAGCAAACAGGAUUAGAUACCCUGGUA
rnacentral:rRNA from 1 species